rnacentral:rRNA from 1 species
GAUUAACGCUAGCGGAAGGCAUAAUACAUGCAAGUCGAACGGGAUAGAACUUAGCAAUAGGUUCUUGAGAGUGGCGCACGGGUGCGUAACACGUAUGCAACCUACCUUUAACUGGGGGAUAGCCUCUCGAAAGAGAGAUUAAUACCCCAUAGUAUAACUGAAGAGCAUUUUUUGGUUAUUAAAGAUUUAUCGGUUAAAGAUGGGCAUGCGGCUGAUUAGGUAGUUGGUGAGGUAAUGGCUCACCAAGCCAACGAUCAGUAGGGGGUCUGAGAGGAUGUCCCCCCCACACUGGUACUGAGACACGGACCAGACUCCUACGGGAGGCAGCAGUAGGGAAUAUUGGACAAUAGGGGCAACCCUGAUCCAGCCAUUCCGCGUGCAGGAAUAAGGCCCUAUGGGUCGUAAACUGCUUUUGUAUGGGAAAAAAUCAUCUUACGUGUAGGAUGUUGAUGGUACCAUGAGAAUAAGGAUCGGCUAACUUCGUG